rnacentral:rRNA from 1 species
AUGCUUAAGAUUGACCUUGCAAAAGCUUUUGAUCGUUUAGAAUGGAAUUUCAUUGUUUCUGCUCUGGCUCGUAAAGGGCUGCAUGGUCAUUUUGUUAAUUUGGUUCAUGCAUGCAUCUCAUCUCCCUCAUUCUCUAUUCUCAUUAAUGGCCAGCCCUCUCCUAAAUUUAAGAGCUUCAGAGGAAUACGACAAGGCUGUCCCAUGUCUCCUUACUUGUUUGUUCUUGCAAUUAAUGAACUUUCCAUCUUGCUUAAUGAAGCUUUGCAGGCUAACCCAUUGCAGGGAAUUUCUCUUGGACCAAAUUGCCCCUCUGUCCAUUCUCUUCUAUUUGCAGAUGAUCUUCUGGUGUGUGGGCACGCUACUUAUCAGGAGGCUCAGACGAUGGCUAGUCUUUCAACACUUUUGUGCUCUUUCUGGUCAAACUCCUAA